GAGGUAAACAAGCACCGCUAUCAGAAUGGAGCAGAGAGGCUUUGCAUAGGUCGGCCUAUUGCUCUAAUGGAAUAGAUUGUGCAGGAAUGAAUCUUCCACAUGGGUUGUAGGAGGCAGCUGGCAAGCAGCAACACAAUGUAAGCAGAUCUUAACAAGGAGAAGCAACACAUAUCCUCCCAACCACCUUUUCUGUUCUUCAACAAAUGCUUACCGGUCGUGAACUACAUCGAUCUGGGGUAUAAUUCUCGAUGAAAUUGAUGGAUGAGGGCAACCAUUGACAGAAAGGGAGAAAGACAUUCCACACUGAUCCUCUCAACUCACUUCACUUCUGACCAAUCAAAUGUCAUUGUGGUCUCCUCAAAGUCAUUACUUCAACUCAGGUGCCAACUUUGUGGCGACGCGAGAGAUGGAUUUGUCACAAUCUGUUUUUGUUAUGAGUUGGUUUAGAGGGUGGCUUUUGUGUUUUGGUCUUCUUUUGGUUUUGCUUUUGGGAGUUUUGCGUUCCUGAGUUUCCUUGUCAUGUCUGUCACCAACUGGUCAGGGCAGUUCUGUUCCUCUUUUCUCAAUCUUCAGUCACUUGUGUAUUUUGCACAUGUGCCUCAUUGUUAAGCCAAUUGGUUUGUAUUUAUUUUGUGGUUUCUGUUAUUUCUGUCUGAUCACUGUCAUAUGUUAUGUCAUGUUGUCAUUUGUCGUGCUGUGUCUGUUGGCCUUGUUGUUUUUGUUGUUCUGGAUUUUUAGUUUGUCUGUUUUGGC